ACGCGCGUGAUGCGGUCCUGGGUUGGCGGGGUGGGGCCCAGUGGUCACCACCGCCCUCCGCAGGUCCCGGUUGCCGUGCGCAUGCGCCU
rnacentral:miRNA from 1 species